GACGAACGCUGACGUCGUGCUUAACACAUGCAAGUCGAAGGGAGUGGCGAACGUGUUAGUAACACGUGAGUAGCCUGCCCUUUUCUUUUGGAUAAUCCUGGGAAACUGGGUCUAAUGCUGGAUGGGAUGGGAUGGGAUCGGGGCGUAUCAGCUUGUUGGUGGGGUGAUGGCUUACCAAGGCUUUGACGGGUAGCCGGCCUGAUGGGGGGGGCGUCAACUGUGUGUAUGAGAUACGGCCCAGACUCCUAGCGCAGGCAGCAGGGGGGGGUAUGGCAGAAUAGACGAAAGCUGGCUGCAGCGACGUCGUGUGGGGAAUGAAGGUAUCUGGGCUGUUAACUUCUUUCGACUGCGGAAUGGUAGUGUGUAAUGAAGCGCCUGCUAACGACGUUCCAGCAGCCGCGGUAAUUC
rnacentral:rRNA from 1 species